GAGCUAUCACUUCGCUGUGUGGUUGCUGGUGCUGAGAAAUGCCUCGAUGACAUUUUCAUUGUUAAAAAUGGACUAUGGAAACAAGAUCAGUCAACAUGUGUGAGUGCACCUUCACCAAUCCCACAAAUGCCUCUGCUCUCACGAAUUUAUUACCCUUGGGAGAGCCUCAGCAAGACAGUACUUGAUGCAUUGGAAGCAGACAAUGUUCUGCUUCCCUCUCAACGACAGGAAGUGGCACACAUGGCAGCGUCAUGGCCCUGCAUAUCCAUUGUAGGCACCUGGUUGGUAUCAUUGAGAACGAAGGGAGCCAGCAGGCAUAAAAAAAUCAAGAGGGCUCCAUACAUAAAUGCGUG